AAUGAACGUUGGCGGCGUGGAUUAGGCAUGCAAGUCGAGCGAGAAUCCUAGCUUGCUAGGAGGACAGCGGCGAAAGGGACAGUAAUGUGUAGAUUAUCUGCCCUCAGGUCCGGGAUAGCUGCGGGAAACUGCAGGUAAUACCGGAUAACAUCUACGGAUCAAAGGUGUGAUUCCGCCUGAGGAUGAGUCUACAUCCUAUUAGCUUGUUGGUAGGGUAACGGCCUACCAAGGCAAUGAUGGGUAGCGGGUGUGAGAGCACGACCCGCGUCAUUGGGACUGAGACACUGCCCAGACACCUACGGGUGGCUGCAGUCGAGAAUCUUCGGCAAUGGGCGCAAGCCUGACCGAGCGACGCCGCGUGCGGGAUGAAGGCCUUCGGGUUGUAAACCGCUGUCAGAGGGGAUGAAAUGCAGGUGGGUUCUCCCAUCUGUUUGACAUAGCCUCAGAGGAAGGACGGGCUAAGUUCGUGCCAGCAGCCGCGGUAAGACGAACCGUCCAAACGUUAUUCGGAAUCACUGGGCUUAAAGAGUGCGUAGGCGGCUUGGUAAGUUGGAUGUGAAAUCCCUCGGCUCAACCGAGGAACUGCGUUCAAUACUG
rnacentral:rRNA from 1 species